rnacentral:lncRNA from 1 species
GACGAAUUACCGUCAUGGGCGGCUGAGCCUGUGCUAGAGCAUGGCGCCACCAUCGUGUCAGAAAUACAAAAUUGGCCAGAAAGAGUUUUGUACAUUGACUUUUAAAUUUUUUAAGUAUUUUUAGGUAUAUGACGAGUGUUUUGGAUUAUGUAGGAAAAAUUCAAAAAACUCAGUACUCGUUAGGAGAGUCUACGUGACGUCUCG